rnacentral:rRNA from 1 species
AGCGGGAUGAGCUCAAAUUUGUAAUCUGGCGGCCUUUGGCUGUCCGAGUUGUAGUCUGGAGAAGCGUUUUCCGCGUCGGACCGUGUACAAGUCCCUUGGAACAGGGCGUCGUAGAGGGUGAGAAUCCCGUCUUUGACACGGACUGCCGAUGCUUUGUGAUGCGCUCUCGAAGAGUCGAGUUGUUUGGGAAUGCAGCUCAAAACGGGUGGUAAAUUCCAUCUAAAGCUAAAUACGGGCGAAAGACCGAUAGCGAACAAGUACCGUGAGGGAAAGAUGAAAAGCACUUUGGAAAGAGAGUUAAACAGUACGUGAAAUUGUUGAAAGGGAAACGCUUGAAGUCAGUCGCGUCUCCUGGGACUCAGCCUUGCUUCUGCUCGGUGUACUUCCUGGGGUUGACGGGCCAGCAUCGAUUUUGACCGUCGGAGAAAGGCCUUGGGAACGUGGCACCCUUUGGGUGUGUUAUAGCCCUCGGUCGUAUGCGACGGUUGGGAUCGAGGACCGCAGCAUGCCUUUUUGGCCGGGGUUCGCCCACGUACGUGCUUAGGAUGCUGGCGUAAUGGCUUUAAGCGACCCGUCUUGAAACACGGACCAAGGAGUCUAACAUGCCUGCGAGUGUUUGGGUGGUAAACCCGGACGCGCAAUGAAAGUGAAACGUUGGGACCUCUGUCGUGGAGGGCACCGACGCCCGGACCAGACCUUUUGUGACGGUUCCGAGGUAGAGCAUGCAUGCUGGGACCCGAAAGAUGGUGAACUAUGCUUGAGUAGGGUGAAGCCAGAGGAAACUCUGGUGGAGGCUCGUAGCGAUUCUGACGUGCAAAUCGAUCGUCGAACUUGAGUAUAG